GGAAAAAUCAACAACAACAAAUUCUAACUAGAGUGGGCGGAGCAAGUAUCAAAUCAAAAAAAGUUAAAAAAAAAUUCCUGCUAGGUUCGUGAAGUGAGCAUGAAAAAACUACAUAAUAGUGGCAGUCAAAUGAAGAGAACAUCAUCGGUAUAGGAUCAUCAACGACGAAGUUAGUACCAAACCCCGGCCGAAAUAGUCAAAAAUAGCUUUUUGUCUUUUUGCCUAUUUUUUCAACCAACUUGUUUUUCGAACCAUACUCAAAUGAAUGACUUCAGAAAAAGAGGUUUUUCAAUUGACAAUUUUUAUAUAUAUUAAUCAAAUCUCUGUUUGUGUACAUUUGUUAGUUUCGCCCAUUUGUCGGAUCACGAUCGAAAUCAUCUCAAGUGACAAGAAGAAUUUGAUUAGGUGAGUAUGUAUGUACACCACUGUGCAGCUCUGUAAACAUUUUCCAUCACGAUGAGCAAUUCGCUAAUUCGCAUCACAAGCUGACAAAUGGAGAAAAUUUGUAUCAGGAAAAUGCGGCAGGAGUUUUCUGUCUCGACUUCAGUGCUCGGGAUUAUAUAGAAAGUGAUAAUCAGUACGAGAAAGAAAUCACCUUUUUUGCUGAGGCCUUCAAAAGCCCUUCCCGGAGCAGUAUGGAUCGAGACGUCAAGCCCAAUAAAUCGAUAAAAUACAGCAGGCCGAGUUUUGCUUCAAUAGUUUACUAUCAGACAUUGCGGUGGGAUGCGUUGAGAGUCGCGAUGAAGUAGCCUUGAACCAGGUCGAGGUUUUAGCGGUAGACACGAACAUGAUCAAAGGGUGCAAGGAAAACGACACUACGUGACUUUACCAGCAAUUAUAUUAUACAAUGCAUCAAUCCCAGUGCUCCUAGUUUUAGGAAGAUCUAUGGGACGAUACGCAACAAGUGAUCCAUUUUAUUAUGCCGGCUUUUUCCACGGGGCGUAAUCCCAACACCAAAAUGACUGGAAACAAGCUCGAACACUGAUUUAAAGCAAAGCGAUGCAAUCAGACAGUUUAGCUUAAGAGUCGAAUCACCGGAACAAGUCACCUAAAAAGCAUACCAAAAAACAAUUCGUUUUAUUCCGUCUCAUACGAUCCGACGACGUACUUUUUCUCCAUCAUAUAUGGCUCUAGUUUUAACCAGUUCCUCAACCUGCGUUUUUGCGACUCUCCGGAGCGGAAAAAUCGACUUCAUUUUGCCAUCAGUGAUUUGCAGACGAUAUUCACCCUAGCCAAAAAGCUGCUCACCAAGGAGACGCUGGAACACCUUGAGCAAGCCGGAGAUAUUUACGCGUUGCAUCAGAUAAAAGCUAAGAAAUAAUCAACCUGGUUAUGGUGACCCUUUUGAAGGAAAUUUUGCAAAAUGAUUUUCCUACGCUGUAUUAUAUUUUAUCAAAGAUGUGCAGGAGUUUGUGAAGCGCUUGUUUCUGAUAGGUCAAACCGAGAUGAAAAAGGAAUAGCACGACAGCUUAUUGGACAGAGUGAAUGAUCCGUCCAACAUUGUGGUAAACAAGUACAAGAUCAAUGUUUUAGCCAACACGGCGUGUGUCGAUCUACUAGUGUCGGCCACUGGAGAUGAAACUGGUGCUGCAUUCCGUCAUCACAAUCGGCAGACGACAAAUGAUAGAGAACCAAGGUAUUCGCUGCCAAGUACUGGGAAAUUCGCAUGGUUCGGAUAGAGAAUAUUCCAUCUGUGUGAUGAGCAUCUCAAGUACUGUCAAUCCGGAAGAUUUAGUCUACCCGUGUAUUUUGCAUUUCACACAGUAUUGCCCGAACUCCGAAGUAUGUCAUUUACCCAGACCGAAAUAAGCCAACCGAAGAAUACAGAGUAAAAUAUACUAAGAAGCAUAUCGUGAAAAAUGAACAUGAGUUAGCCAACCUGUCCUCUAGCUCUGGAUGAGUGUGAAUCGCGAUUUAUUGGAGGAUACUUUGACUCAAUUAUAUUUAUCUUGUGCAUCCUUCUCAUUGUGGUACUAAGAGAAUCUUAGUAAUAGUAGAAAAAAGGAGAACCGCUGUUGCUGUUCCUGCCAUCGUGUUUGAGCUAAGCUCUGGCGUAACGUCGCAAGAAAUGUUUGCUAUGUUAAUCUUCAGUUAAUUGCCUUUCAGCACGCUGUGGGCGACUCGACUGGUGCCAAUAAAAUGUUUAUGAUGUACCGAGUAACGGAAGAAGUGGGGAGAACUUCGAACAACUAAGAAAAUGUGGACGCGUUGGAAAUCAGUUGAGAAACUAUGAGAGGUUGCCAAUGAUGUCAAUCGGCGUCUUGAAUUGUCCAUCUUUGAUGAAUAGCUGGAAUUGUUUAUCAAAAUCUCUCAGAUAUAUUGAGAUCGGUCUCUAUCUGGCCAUCUCGCUACUGCCAAACAGAAAACAUUGUUACUAGAAUUGCAGAACGAAACCUCACAUAGAUGUAUUAAAAAUUUAGAAUCAAAUGAAUCAAUACGAUGCUUCAUCCAAUGAUUGCCGGUAAAAUGUAUUCAAUUGUUUAAGGCCCCGAUAUACUUAUAUAGUUGCUUGAACCAAUAGGAAAUAAUGAAGCAUAUGAGUUGUAAAAUAAACUGUUUUUAGAUUAGGUAUUCGAUUAUAAAAAAUUGUAUUAAUAAAUGCUAAAAUAAAUU